rnacentral:rRNA from 1 species
AGAGUUUGAUCAUGGCUCAGAAUCAACGCUGGCGGCGUGCCUAACACAUGCAAGUCGAACGCGAAAGUGGAGCAAUCCAUGAGUAGAGUGGCAAACGGGUGAGUAACGCGUGGGCGACCUACCUCAGAGUGGGGGAUAACCUUCCGAAAGGAGGGCUAAUACCGCAUGACAUCCCGUGUUUGGAUACACGGUGAUCAAAGCCGGGGAUCGCAAGACCUGGCGCUUGGAGAGGGGCCCGCGUCCGAUUAGCUAGUUGGUGAGGUAACGGCUCACCAAGGCUCCGAUCGGUAUCCGGCCUGAGAGGGCGGACGGACACACUGGAACUGAGACACGGUCCAGACUCCUACGGGAGGCAGCAGUGGGGAAUUGUUCGCAAUGGGCGCAAGCCUGACGACGCAACGCCGCGUGGAGGAUGAAGACUUUCGGGUCGUAAACUCCUUUCGACCGAGAUGAAUUCCUGCCGGCCUAACAUGCCGGCGGGGUGACAGUAUCGAGGGAAGAAACCCCGGCUAACCCCGUGCCAGCAGCCGCGGUAAUAC